UACGUAGGGGGCAAGCGUUGUCCGGAAUUAUUGGGCGUAAAGAGCGUGUAGGCGGUUAGGUAGGUCCGUUGUGAAAACUCGAGGCUCAACCUCGAGACGCCGAUGGAAACCAUCUGACUAGAGUCCGGAAGAGGAGAGUGGAAUUCCUGGUGUAGCGGUGAAAUGCGUAGAUAUCGGGAGGAACACCAGUGGCGAAGGCGACUUCCUGGCCUGUUCUUGACGCUGAGGCGCGAAAGCGUGGGGAGCGAUCCGG
rnacentral:rRNA from 1 species